AAAAAAAUAGGCGAUAUUACUUACAAACUUCGUUUGUCCAACAAUUUGGAUUGUCGGCGGUUUGGUUUUCGGGUUCUGCCUCUUUGACAUUUUUUCCUCUAUAGCUAAGAUUCCGAGCUUGGUGUUUUGCCUCGACGGUGUUUAGGUGGUUGUUCUGGCAAAGUGUCUUUGCUUUGGGUCGGAUACAACUCAUUGUCUGUCUAUCCAUAGCAAAUCUAUUUGAGAUAUGCAUAUAGUCUUCUCAAGAUGCUUCUAUCUAGGCAUUUCUUUGCCAUACCACCAAUAACGCCGCAUCUACAAAAACUGUUAAGAAACUUGUUGUGGUUCUGUCUUGCCAGGUUAUGAAGGUUAGAAAUUUGAAAUUGUAUGACAGUUACUCAUCUUCAUAAGAGGAAUCAUUUUCUUUAGUUUGUCGCGGACAUCUUCGAUAGUUCUCUAUCA
rnacentral:sRNA from 1 species